rfam:Triticum aestivum genome assembly, contig: Triticum_aestivum_CS42_TGACv1_scaffold_499657_6BL
GCACCUUCCUCGAUCUUUUGACUAAUAUCAAAUGUAGUUUAUGUUCUUAUCAAUUUAAUAUCUGAUAUGAAGUACAUUCCCAUAACCAUAUUAAAUUUAUUUUUUGUGGGGAUAUCCACCACAGUGGCUUGCCACUGGCCCCUCCUCGGUUGUCAACCAGUGCGUUGCACUAUAGCCUGAAAAGACGCGGAUUUU